AUAAAAGCUACGAAGGGCAUACGACGGAUGCCUUGGGACAAGAGGCCGAUGAAGGGCGCGUAAGCGGCGAAACGCCACGGGGAGCUGCACAAGAGUGUUGAUCCGUGGGUGCCCGAAUGGGGAAACCCGGCUGGAGUCAUGUCCAGUCAUCCCGAGCUGAAUACAUAGGCUCGUGGAAGGGAACCUGGUGAACUGAAACAUCUAAGUAACCAGAGGAAGAGAACUCGAAGAGAUUCCGUAAGUAGCGGCGAGCGAAAGCGGAUCAGCCUAAACCUAAGUGCUUGCAUUUAGGGGUUGUGGGACCGCGGAAUUCAACAAUAGACGAGUAGAACACAGCUGGAAAGCUGGACGACACAGGGUGACAGUCCCGUAAACGAAGUCGACGAUAGAUGGCGGUAUCCCGAGUAGCACGAAUCACGAGGAAUUUUGUGUGAAUCCGUCCGGACCACCGGAUAAGGCUAAAUACCUCUUGUCACCGAUAGCGCAUAGUACCGUGAGGGAAAGGUGAAAAGUACCCCGGGUAGGGGAGUGAAAUAGUUCCUGAAAUCGUAUUGCCUACAAUCAGUCAGAGCACUAUGCUCCGAGCAAUCGGAGAAUGUGUGAUGGCGUGCCUUUUGCAGAAUGAGCCUGCGAGUUGUUCGUCCCGGCAAGGUUAAGCGUUUUAGACGCGGAGCCGGAGGGAAACCGAGUCCGAAUAGGGCGUCUAGUCGGUACGAGCAGACCCGAAACUGCGUGAUCUAGCCAUGGCCAGGCUGAAGUGAUGGUAACACAUCAUGGAGGGCCGAACUCGUAGACGUUGAAAAGUCUUGGGAUGAGUUGUGGUUAGUCCGGUGAAAUGCCAAUCGAACGCAGAGAUAGCUGGUUCUCCCCGAAAUGCAUUUAGGUGCAGCGUUAUGUGUUCUCGUAUGGAGGUAGAGCACUGAAUGGGCUAGGGGCCCCACCAGGUUACCGAACCCAAUCAAACUCCGAAUACCAUACGAUAUAAACAUAGCAGUGAGACGGCGAGUGCUAAGAUCCGUCGUCAAAAGGAAAACAAUCCAGAUCAUCAGCUAAGGGCCGUAAAUCACGGCUAAGUGUAAAACGAUGUGAGAUCGCGUAAACAGCCAGGAGGUUGGCUUGGAGGCAGCCAUCCUUUAAAAAGUGCGUAACAGCUUACUGGCCGAAUGUGAUCUUGCGCGGACAAUUUAAGCGGGCUAAAGCCGUGUCCCGAAGCUAUGGGUGUCGCAAUUUAUUGCGGCGCGGUAGGGGAGCGUUCUGUUCAGCAGUGAAGAUAAAGCGUAAGCAUUGUUGGAGCGGACAGAAGUGAGAAUGCAGGCAUGAGUAGCGAUCACAAAGGUGAGAAUCCUUUGCGCCGAAAACCCAAGGUUUCCCCCGCCAUGCUCGUCAGAGGGGGGUUAGGCGAUAUCCUAAGGUGAGGCCGGAAGGCGUAAUCGAUGGACAGACGGUUGAUAUUCCGUCCCCGGAUAUGUUUGGUCAAGAGGGACGCUUCUAAAGGUUCUAUCCCACACCGUUGGUUGUUGUGGGCUCAAAAUCGGCAUGGCGCGGCGAAAACGCGCGGAAUUGCUGAUGAGAGGGAAGGGAUCGCUUCGGCGUGAACGAACUAGGACUGAUGGGGGCCGAGAAAAGCUCUGACGACUAUAUUCAUAUCCGUUCGUACCGUAAACCGACACAGGUAGGUGAGUCGAGAAGACUAAGGCGUUCGAGAGAACUCUCGUUAAGGAACUAGGCAAAUGGGCCCCGUAACUUAGGGAUAAGGGGCGCCCCCAGCAAUGGGGGCCGCAGCGAAGCACUCCAGGCGACUGUUUACCAAAAACACAGGUCUCUGCUAAGACGAAAGUCGAUGUAUAGGGGCUGACGCCUGCCCAAUGCUAGUAGGUUAAUCGGAGGUGUCAGGGCGCAAGCCCGAAGCACCGAAGUGAAGCCCUAGUGAAUGGCGGCCGUAACUCUAACGGUCCUAAGGUGGAAUACACUGCCUUAGUAAAAUUCAGCUAUAUGCUGGAACAUCUGAGAAUCCCAGGCUACUUGCAGCAAUGUAAGUGACAAUGCUUUGGGUGCAGACGAUCAGCAGGAAAGGCCGGCGUAAGCCGGAAUCCCCAGAGGCCAUACGCUGAACUCCGAUCUAAUCGGAGAAGAUAUGGUCCGAUCUGCACGGCGACGUGUAGGAAAGCGAUUCAGCUCUAAUAGGAUCGCUUCACUCGACCAAAAGUCGAGGAACAGAAUGAGCGAAAUUCCUUGUCGGCUAAAUACCGACCCGCAUGAAAGGCGUAACGACUUGGAGACUGUCUCAACGAGAAACUCGGUGAAAUUGUAGCACCCGCGAAGAUGCGGGUUCCGCGCAGUAGGACGGAAAGACCCCGUGGAGCUUUACUACACCUUAAGAUUGUAGUUUGGAUUAUCAUGUAGAGCGUAGGUGGGAGCUUCGGCACCAAUGGAACACCACCCUUGAUACUCUGAAUUACUAACCCUUGCCGUUAUCCGGUAAGGAGACCGUCUUAGGCGGGUAGUUUGACUGGGGCGGUCGCCUCCCAAAAUGUAACGGAGGCGUUCAAAGGUGCCCUCAGGCUGGUUGGAAAUCAGCCAUUGAGCGUAAUGGUAUAUAGGGCGCUUGACUGUGAGACUGACAAGUCGAGCAGGGACGAAAGUCGGACAUAGUGACCCUCUGGUGGUGCGUGGGCACGCCAGGGUUCAUCGGAUAAAAGCUACCCCGGGGAUAACAGGCUGAUCUUGCCCGAGCGCUCACAGCGACGGCAUGGUUUGGCACCUCGAUGUCGGCUCGUCGCAUCCUGGGGCUGUAUUAGGUCCCAAGGGUUCCGGAGUUCACGGAUUAAAGCGGCACGCGAGCUGGGUUCAGAACGGCGUGAGCCAGUUCGGUCCCUAUCCACUGCGCGCGCAGGAAAUUUGAGAGGAGUCGUUCCUAGUACGAGAGGACCGGAAUGAACUGACCUCUGGUGUACCAGUUGUUCCGCCAGGAGCAUACGCUGGGUAGCUACGUCGGGAAGGGAUAAGCGCUGAAAGCAUCUAAGCGCCAAGCCCACCUCAAGAUUAGAUUUCCCAUAGCAUAAGCUAGUAAGACCCCCGGAAGAGAACCGGGUCGAUAGGCCGCAAUUGUACGCACAGUAAUGUGUUUAGAUUAGCGGUACUAAUAGGUCGAGGGCUUUUAUCA
rnacentral:rRNA from 1 species